rnacentral:rRNA from 1 species
CCUACGGGAGGCAGCAGUGGGGAAUAUUGCACAAUGGGCGCAAGCCUGAUGCAGCAACGCCGCGUGAGGGACGACGGCCUUCGGGUUGUAAACCUCUUUUAGUAGGGAAGAAGCGAAAGUGACGGUACCUGCAGAAAAAGCACCGGCUAACUACGUGCCAGCAGCCGCGGUAAUACGUAGGGUGCAAGCGUUAUCCGGAAUUAUUGGGCGUAAAGAGCUCGUAGGCGGUUUGUCGCGUCUGCUGUGAAAACCUGGAGGCUCAACCUCCAGCCUGCAGUGGGUACGGGCAAACUAGAGUGCGGUAGGGGAGAUUGGAAUUCCUGGUGUAGCGGUGGAAUGCGCAGAUAUCAGGAGGAACACCGAUGGCGAAGGCAGAUCUCUGGGCCGUAACUGACGCUGAGGAGCGAAAGCAUGGGGAGCGAACAGGAUUAGAUACCCUGGUAGUCCAUGCGUACGUAGGUCGCAGAUGUGGACGACUCUCGUUCGUGUCGC